UGCCAGCAGCCGCGGUAAUACGGAGGGGGCGAGCGUUAUUCGGAAUUACUGGGCGUAAAGGGUGCGUAGGCGGCCCAUCAAGUUAGACGUGAAAGCCCAGGGCUCAACCUGGGAAUUGCGUUUAAUACUGGUGAGCUAGAGUACGAGAGAGGAAAGUGGAAUUCCUAGUGUAGAGGUGAAAUUCGUAGAUAUUAGGAAGAACACCAGUGGCGAAGGCGACUUUCUGGCUCGUAACUGACGCUGAGGCACGAAAGCGUGGGUAGCAAACAGGAUUAGAUA
rnacentral:rRNA from 1 species